rnacentral:rRNA from 1 species
CAGUUCGGAUUGUAGUCUGCAACCCGACUACAUGAAGCUGGAAUCGCUAGUAAUCGCGGAUCAGAAUGCCGCGGUGAAUACGUUCCCGGGUCUUGUACACACCGCCCGUCACACCAUGGGAGUUGGAAAUGCCCGAAGUCAGUGACCCAACCGUAAGGAGGGAGCUGCCGAAGGUGGAGCCGGUAACUGGGGUGAAGUCGUAACAAGGUAGC